rnacentral:rRNA from 1 species
UACAGAGGUCUCAAGCGUUGUUCGGAUUCAUUGGGCGUAAAGGGUGCGUAGGUGGCGUGGUAAGUCGGGUGUGAAAUUUCGGAGCUUAACUCCGAAACUGCAUUCGAUACUGGCGUGCUUGAGGACUGGAGAGGAGACUGGAAUUCAUGGUGUAGCAGUGAAAUGCGUAGAGAUCAUGAGGAAGACCAGUGGCGAAGGCGGGUCUCUGGACAGUUCCUGACACUGAGACACGAAGGCCAGGGGAGCAAACGGG